GGGUCCUGUGUGGCUCAGUUGGUAGAGCAUGGCACUUGCAAUGCCACGGUUGUGGGUUUGAUUCCCACAGGGUACCA